rnacentral:rRNA from 1 species
UAAGAGACAGCAGCCGCCGCGGGAAUACGUAGGUCCCGAGCGUUGUCCGGAUUUAUUGGGCGUAAAGCGAGCGCAGGCGGUUAGAUAAGUCUGAAGUUAAAGGCUGUGGCUUAACCAUAGUACGCUUUGGAAACUGUUUAACUUGAGUGCAAGAGGGGAGAGUGGAAUUCCAUGUGUAGCGGUGAAAUGCGUAGAUAUAUGGAGGAACACCGGUGGCGAAAGCGGCUCUCUGGCUUGUAACUGACGCUGAGGCUCGAAAGCGUGGGGAGCGAACGGGAUUAGAUACCCCCGUAGUCCCUGUCUCUUAUACC